rnacentral:sRNA from 1 species
AUAUCUCUCUGUACGGGAAGGAUGAGAAGCUUCUACCAGGGUUCGAUUCGAGCGCAGCGAGAAAGCGUUGCCGCAGGCAACGACCCGAAGGGCGAAGCGCG